CGCGGCCUAUCAGCUUGUUGGUGGGGUAGUGGCCUACCAAGGCGGCGACGGGUAGCCGGCCUGAGAGGGUGACCGGCCACAUUGGGACUGAGAUACGGCCCAGACUCCUACGGGAGGCAGCAGUGGGGAAUAUUGCACAAUGGGCGCAAGCCUGAUGCAGCAACGCCGCGUGCGGGAUGACGGCCUUCGGGUUGUAAACCGCUUUCAGCAGGGACGAAGCUUUUUGUGACGGUACCUGCAGAAGAAGCGCCGGCUAACUACGUGCCAGCAGCCGCGGUGAUACGUAGGGUGCGAGCGUUGUCCAGAUUUAUUGGGCGUAAAGGGCUCGUAGGCGGUUGAUCGCGUCGGAAGUGGAAACUUGAUGCUUAACGUUGAGCGUGCUUUCGAUACGGGUUGACUUGAGGAAGGUAGGGGAGAAUGGAAUUCCUGGUGGAGCGGUGGAAUGCGCAGAUAUCAGGAGGAACACCAGUGGCGAAGGCGGUUCUCUGGACCUUUCCUGACGCUGAGGAGCGAAAGCGGGGGGAGUGAACAGGCUUAGAUACCCUGGUAGUCCACGCUGUAAACGGUGGGUACUAGGUGUGGGGUCCAUUCCACGGAUUCUGUGCCGUAGCUAACGCAUUAAGUACCCCGCCUGGGGAGUACGG
rnacentral:rRNA from 1 species